rnacentral:lncRNA from 1 species
GCACCUGCAGAAGAUGAGUGGACCUGGUUGGGAGGUCGUGCCCAGAAAGGGGAAAUGGGAUUGGGGACCCACUGAAAAAGUCAGUGUGACCAUGGUUUUGUAAAACCACUACACUCUGCUGGCAUAGCGGUGGAAUGGCUAAGUCAGCCAAGCAACAAAGAUGGCCACCUGCCCCUUCCUCUGGGAGCUCCAUCCCAGGGAGGUUUGAAAUCUCUGUUGGCUGGAGAACACCAGUGGGGUUUACUGGAGACUUCAGUUGUGAAGUCCCACUUGGUGAUGAGGAACAGGAUCAGAGACCCACUUGUGAAAGCAGUCUGGCCACAGUUUUGUAGAGCAGCUCCACAGUGCUUCUCGGGAGGUCUACUUCAGCACCUGGUUGCCUCAGACUCUCCAAAACCAGAAGGCCAGAAUGGCAUUAGUCACCUAGACAGCCAAGAGGUAACCUACCCCUCCUUCUGGGAGCUGUGUCCCAGGGAGGUUUGAAAUCUUCAUAGGCUGGAGCACAUCUAGAGGAGUGGCUGGAGACCGUGGUUCAGAGGUCCUGCCCAGUGAGGGGGAAUGGGAUCAAGGGUUUCCUUUAAAAAGCAGCCUAGCCACAUUUUCCUGGAGCAGCUGUGGUGUACUGGGGGACCACUUCAGCCUUCAGUUGCCUUGGACUCUCCAAAGGCCAAGGGCUAGAAUGGCUAAGUUGUCCAAAGAGCAAAUAUGGCAGCCUGCUUCACCCUCUGGGAGCUCCAUCUCAGAGAAGUGCAAUGCUGCUACGGGUGGCUGGCUGGAGUUCCAAGGCACCUCAUUUUGUGAGGGGCCCUGCAGACUGUCGCCACUCGGGCCAGUGGAUUCAGCCCCUUUCCUAGGGCUAUGUGCAAGAGUUUAACCUUCCAUUUUGGCAGAGCUGCAGCUGCUUUUGUUGAGAAGCAUGGGAAGCUUGGGAAUCUAAGGUUCUCGGAAUCUCUGAGUGUGCCUGAAUAGCUGCUCUGCUGAGAUUCCAUGUAGCUCGGUGUGUCAGAUGGAAGGCCCUGGUGGAGUGCGUUCACCAGGGGAACACCUAAUCAGAGAGUUGCAAAAAUCAAUGCAAGAAGCAUGAGUUCCAAGGUCACACAUUCACUCACUGCUUCCCUUGCUGGGGGAGGUUCCCCAGCUCCAUGUCAUUCCCCAGCGGGCUGUUGUCCUCCCUUACUUGUCUGCAUUCUUCAUGAAUCAAGUUGUUUUCUUGAUUAAUCCCAGUGCAUGUACCUGGAUGUUUCAGUUCAAGGUGCUGGAUUUACUUGUCCCAUUCAUUCUUCUCUGUGAGGGUGAUGCACACCACCUGCUUCUAGUUGGCUAUCUUGGCCACACAAUCAUAUUUAUUUCCUAUGAGAUUACAUUAUUUCAGGUAAUAUUUGCUUUGGUUUUGGCUUAAAUUCAGUAAUAUUUGCCAGGCGUGGUGGCCCACACCUCUAAUCCCAGCACUUUGGGAGGCCGAGGAGGGCGGGUCACGAAGUCAGGAGUUUGAGACCAGCCUGACCAACAUGGUGAAACCCCGUCUCUACUAAAAAUACAAAAAUUAGCCCGCCAUGGUGACCUGCUCCUCUAAUUCCAGCUACUCAGGAGGCUGAGGCAGGAGAAUCGCUUGAGCCCAGGAGGUGGAGGUUGCAGUGAGCCAAGAUUGCACCACAGCAUUCCAGCCUGGGUGACAGAGCAAGACUCCACCUAAAAAAAAAAAAAAAAAAAAAAAAA